UGAAUUUCGAUUUUGUUAAUU
rnacentral:piRNA from 1 species